rnacentral:rRNA from 1 species
GAUGAACGCUGGCAGCGUGCCUAAUACAUGCAAGUCGAGCGAACAGAUAAGGAGCUUGCUCCUUUGACGUUAGCGGCGGACGGGUGAGUAACACGUGGGUAACCUACCUAUAAGACUGGAAUAACUCCGGGAAACCGGGGCUAAUGCCGGAUAACAUUUAGAACCGCAUGGUUCUAAAGUGAAAGAUGGUUUUGCUAUCACUUAUAGAUGGACCCGCGCCGUAUUAGCUAGUUGGUAAGGUAACGGCUUACCAAGGCAACGAUACGUAGCCGACCUGAGAGGGUGAUCGGCCACACUGGAACUGAGACACGGUCCAGACUCCUACGGGAGGCAGCAGUAGGGAAUCUUCCGCAAUGGGCGAAAGCCUGACGGAGCAACGCCGCGUGAGUGAUGAAGGUCUUCGGAUCGUAAAACUCUGUUACUAGGGAAGAACAAAUGUGUAAGUAACUGUGCACGUCUUGACGGUACCUAAUCAGAAGGCCACGGCUAACUACG